UAUAGUAGUGUAUGUGAGAGAGUUUGAUUGAAACGGAAGGCAGUUUGAUUACUCAGCUCCUGAUUGGUUGACAAAGAAGAAGCGGUAUUUGACGGUCAAAUUCCGGCACUGUCAUUAUAAUAGUUUGGCUGAAGUGGAGCUGUAAUGGAUAGAGAGAGGCUAACUGAAGCUGUGGGUCUUCUAAAUAAUAAUUUAGGAAAUGGUGAGCUAUUGUCAACGAUGUCUCGACAAUUAAAUUAAGUCCAACAGAGCUCUGAUUCGGAGCUGCAGAGAUUAUUCAGGGGUGGAACUGCAAAUCCAGUCAGACCUGGCUCCAGGCUAGCACUGCUACUUCUAGCUAGCUCAAUGCAACGCGGAGGACCCCGUUACCAGACGAGACAGCAUUUCGGUGGAUCGUCGUCGAAAUCCAGGAAGAGAUUAUCUGGCCAAUGCUGGGUGUCUAAGGCCUUUGAAACGCAUAGAAGACAAAGAUCUCUUGGUGGAGGAUAUCAUCAUGUUUCAGCUGGUUCAUCGAGUUAGUGGAGCACUUUAAAGGUUCAGGGAGGGGAUGAAGACCCUUGGUGUUCUUGAUGCAAUAAGAAUGCACCCAGAUGCUUUCAGACUGCUGUUUUGUCACGAGCCAUCCCCACUCACAGCGGAUGUACUAGAACUGUCAGCAGUGGGCAGGAACAAAAGAAGGGCAGAGGAAUGUGUGCAUUUUGGAGGGACUACCUGCUGGAUGUUGAGGCGCAAGAGGGACCCUUGCAACAUGGGGGUAUCCUGGCCUUUGCGACGGGAGCAAACGAUAUUCCACCCCUGGUCUUCUCUCCACUACCUUCAGUGGUUUUUCUCCAUGAGCUGCCCCUCAGACAAGGCCGUCAUUUACCCACCGCAAACACAUGCAUUAACUGCCUGCGGUUGCCAGUCCUGAAAAAAUUCGAGGAUUUUAAGGAAACUAUGGAUUUUGCAUUAAAAACACUCAGGGAUUUGGUCAGGAAUGACUUCCAAGAACUCCUUAAUAUACAUUAUUAAAAUCUGUUGCCUGUUGAACUUGACUAAAUUGAAGAGGCAUCGUUGUCAAUAACUCACCAUUUCCUAAUACAUUAUUAAUGUCUUGUUUAAACAAUUGAAAAUGGAAUAAUCAUUUGACUGAAAAGGAAACUUGUCAAUGGCCUUUUAUUAACCUUUAUUAAUUGCCUUGACACUAAUGAAGUUGCUCACUGAUAGAGUUCACUAGGCUCAAAAAUAAUUGAAUGUCAUUGGCUAGUGGGUCUACAGUUUCUAGAAUUCUGUUCAUAACUGUUUAAUUGAAAAUAAAGUCAUUUUCUGGAACAACAA